CGCGCCCAGAGCCGGCGCGGAGCACACACUGGCCCAGCUCCCCGCGCCCUCCCCGGUAACGGCCCUCCUCCAGUGCUCAGAAACCUGCGGUGCCAGCGUGCGGUUCGCUUGACCUCCCUGUCUGCAAGUCUUCCUCCUAGAGGUCUGUGCCUCCCUGCGAGCCAUGGGGGACCUGCCGCCCUACCCUGAGUCCCUUCCCCAGCAGCCCCCGAGCCGGAGGAGUUCUCAGGCCUCCGAGAGGCGGCGCAGCUGGGGCCAAGCUCAGCCCCUGGCAGCCGACCCGGAGGAGGAGCGGCAGAUGCCUCCAGACGCCCAGCACAGCACCUCAGGCUGGUCACAGAGGCGCAGCCUGUCCCAACAGGAGAGCUUCCUGAUGCCCCGGGCCUUCCAGGCUGAGGAAGUCCAGCUGGGUGGCACGGAGUACCCAUUCAUGAACUCGGGCUUUCCCUCAGAGUUUCAGCCCCAGCCUUACCCAGAUGAAAGCAGGAUCCAGGCUGCCCAGGGCACCACCAGCCUAAUACUGCAGGGGCUCCAGCAGGGCCAAGGCGGCCUAUUCCAGCACCUGGACUCUGCCUUCCAGGAGCCCCCGGUCAGCCCCUUGAACCAGUUCAACCUGUACCAGUCAGACCAGAUCUAUGAAAGUGCCCAGCACGGGCCCUACAGAAGAGACGACCCUGCCCUUCAGUUCUCGGGCUCUGAGCUGGGCUUCCCGCAAUACAACGCCGAAGUUCCCGAGCCAGAGCCGCUGGAGCUGGCAGUGCAGAACGCCAAGGCCUACCUGCUGCAGACCAGCAUCAACUGCGACCUCAGCCUGUAUGAGCACCUGGUGAACCUGCUGACCAAGAUCCUGAACCAGCGGCCCGAGGACCCCUUGUCCGUCCUGGAGUCACUGAACCGCACCACGCAGUGGGAGUGGUUCCACCCCAAGCUGGACAUGCUGCGGGAUGACCCAGAGAUGCAGCCCACCUACGAGAUGGCAGAGAAGCAGAAGGCGCUGUUCACCCGGGGUGGAGGCGGCGCCGAAGGCGAACAGGAGAUGGAGGAGGAGGUGGGGGAGACACCAGUGCCCAACAUCAUGGAGACUGCCUUCUACUUCGAGCAGGCUGGCGUGGGCCUGAGCGUCGACGAGAGCUUCCGCAUUUUCCUGGCCCUGAAGCAGCUGGUGGAGCAGCAUCCCAUCCACACCUGUCGCUUCUGGGGCAAGAUCCUGGGAAUCAACCGCAGCUACCUGGUGGCUGAGGUAGAAUUCCGGGAGGGCGAGGAAGAGGUGGAGGAGGAGGAGGAGGUCGAUGAGGUGAUGGAGGGCACCGAGGUCCUGGAGGCUCACGGCGAGGAGGAGGGAGAGGGGGACGAAGAGAAGGCCUUGGACUUCAUCCCUAAGCCCAUGUGGAAUCCACCACCUGUGAUCCCCAAGGAGGAGAGCCGCUCGGGCGCCAACAAGUAUCUAUACUUUGUGUGCAACGAGCCGGGCCUGCCGUGGACUCGCCUGCCCCACGUCACACCGGCCCAGAUCGUCAACGCCCGAAAGAUCAAGAAGUUCUUCACAGGCUACCUGGAUGCACCAGUUGUCAGCUACCCACCCUUCCCGGGCAACGAGGCCAACUACCUUCGGGCGCAGAUCGCCCGCAUAUCGGCUGCCACACAGAUCAGCCCGCUGGGCUUCUACCAGUUUAGUGAGGAGGAGGGCGACGAGGAGGAGGAAGGUGGUGCUGGGCGCGACUCCUACGAGGAGAACCCCGACUUCGAGGGCAUCCCCGUGCUGGAGCUGAUCGACUCCAUGGCCAACUGGGUGCAUCACACACAGCAUAUCCUGUCGCAGAAAUCAUGCAUCUGUCACCCUGGACCAUGCGCAUGUCCUGCAGCCUCUGCCCACAGUAUUCGGUGGCCGUCGUGCGCUCCAACCUCUGGCCCGGAGCCUAUGCCUACGCCAGUGGCAAAGAUGGGAUUUCACCACGGUGGUCUCGAGCUCCUGACCUCAGUUGAUCCUCCUGCCUCAGCCUCCCAAAGUGCGGGGAUUACAGGCUGAGCCACCGAGCCCGGCAGGGAUUUUUGUCUAGUUUGUUAACUGCUGUGUCCCGAGCACCUAGAUCAUUUUAUUCAUGUCCCACAUCAUAUGUCCAACACAAAGAAAAUGUCACAAUAUAAAUAAACUGAUAUCCAACAUGAAAUUAUGUCUCACAUAAAUAAGAGCCACAUAUAUAAUUUAAAUUUUAAAAAAAUUUAUUUACUUAUUUAUCGAUUUAUUUUGAGACACGUUUCUCACUCUGUCACCCAGGCUGGAGUGCAGUGGCAUGAUCAUAACUUACUGCAGCCUCAAACUCCUGGGCUCAAGCAAUCCUCCCACCUCAGCCUCCCCAGUAGCUGGAACCAUAGGCAUGUGCCGCCACAACUGGAAAGUUUGAGAACAUCUACAUCGGCUGGGGUCACAAGUACAGCCCUGAGAACUUCAACCCGGCCCUGCCAGCCCCCAUUCAGCAAGAGUACCCCAGCAGCCCAGCGAUCAUGGAGCGGAGUGACC